CCGGUCAAGAAGGUACAGGUACCUAUGGAGCCAGACGCCGUAGUCGACUCUCAGUUAAGACCUCCUGACCCCCUCAAUCCACUUCAGUCCAGUGAAUCAGGUUUCUGAAGAAAGAACAAGAAACUGAAACCCGGCUCAGCCAUAUCUCUUUUAGGGCUCUCUCUGGACUUUCCUCCCAGGCCAGAACAAUGGCGGGCCCAGGAGCCCAGCUUCCCCACAGGCCCCAGCGAGAGGAGGCCGGGGGCUGGGUACUGAGGGAGCUGCUCGGCAUGCUGAAAUAUGGAGGCGACAGAUAAGGUGGCAGCGGCACAGAGAGGCCCUCUCCCAUGGGCCCAAGGGGAAAUUUGCAGUUAUUAAGAGGAAGAUGAGAGAGAUUAAAUGGCUUUUGUACUCAU